rnacentral:rRNA from 1 species
AGGACGAACGCUGGCGGCGUGCCUAAUGCAUGCAAGUCGCACGCAGGGUGCUUGCACUCUGAGUGGGCGCGACGGACGUGAGGAUCGACGUGGGAACAUGCCUCCUUGUGGGGGACAACAGCGCGAAAGCGGUGCUAAUCCCGCAUACGCUCGGCAACGAGGAAAGCGGCAACGCGCAGGGAGAGUGGCCCGCGGCCCAUCAGGUCGUUGGUGGGGUAAUGGCCUACCAAGCCGGUGACGGGUAGCUGGUCUGUGAGGACAACCAGCCAGACUGGGACUGAGACACGGCCCAGACUCCUACGGGAGGCAGCAGCAAGGAAUUUUCGCAAUGGGCGCAAGCCUGAACGAGCAACGCCGCGUGGAGGAUGACGGCCUUCGGGUUGUAAACUCCGUUUUGGGGGGACGAUGAUGACGGUACCCUUGAAUAAGGCUCGGCUAACUCUGUGCCAGCAGCCGC